AAUGAGCCUAAAAUACAUACCACACAAAAAACUUAAUCUAAAUUCAAAAAUCAAAAUAAUACAUAUAAUAAUAAGAGUAAAAAAUAAUGAAAAGAAUUUUUUUUAAGAAGAAAAAAAAAGAAAAAACUAUGUAUAUAUCUCUUCCAGGAAACCAAACAGAACAUGAAAAAAAAUAAAGUCAAAGUAGCAACUUCAUCCCUAACAUUUUCA
rnacentral:lncRNA from 1 species